ACCUCUGCAAUAGGCGAAAGCCUGACAGGGUUACUCUGUGUGAUUCCCGCUAAGGGAAUCUUUUGGCAUCUCUAAAAAUGGUGCAGAAUAAGGGGUGGGCAAGUCUGGUGUCAGCCGCCGCGGUAAUACCAGCACCCCGAGUGGUCGGGACGAUUAUUGGGCCUAAAGCAUCCGUAGCCGGUCUUGCAAGUCUUCCGUUAAAUCCAGCUGCUUAACAGAUGGGCUGCGGAGGAUACUACAAGGCUAGGAGGCGGGAGAGGCAAGCGGUACUCAGUGGGUAGGGGUAAAAUCCUCUGAUCCAUUGAAGACCACCAGUGGCGAAGGCGGCUUGCCAGAACGCGCUCGACGGUGAGGGAUGAAAGCUGGGGGAGCAAACCGGAUUAGAUACCCGGGUAGUCCCAGCUGUAAACGAUGCAGACUCGGUGAUGGGCCGGCUUUAUGCCGGCUCAGUGCCGCAGGGAAGCCGUUAAGUCUGCCGCCUGGGGAGUACGGUCGCAAGACUGAAACUUAA
rnacentral:rRNA from 1 species